rnacentral:rRNA from 1 species
CACGUAGGGACCAAGCGUUGUCCGGAUUCAUUGGGCGUAAAGAGCUCGUAGGCGGUUCAGUAAGUCGGGUGUGAAACCUCCAGGCUCAACCUGGAGACGCCACCCGAUACUGCUGUGACUAGAGUCCAGUAGGGGAGCGUGGAAUUCCUGGUGUAGCGGUGAAAUGCGUAGAUAUCAGGAGGAACACCUGUGGUGUAGACAGCUUACUGGACCACUUCUGACGCUGAGACACGAAAGCGUGGGUAGCAAACAGG